AUUGAACGCUGGCGGCAGGCCUAACACAUGCAAGUCGAACGAGUGGCGGACGGGUGAGUAAUGUCUGGGAAACUGCACGAUGGAGGGGGAUAACUACUGGAAACAGUAGCUAAUACCGCAUAACAUCGGAUGUGACCAGAUGGGAUUAGCUAGUAGGUGGGGUAACGGCUAACCUAGGCGACGAUCACUAGCUGGUCUGAGAGGAUGACCCGCCACACGGGAACGUAGACACGGUCCAGACUCCUACGUGAGGCAGCAGUGGGGACUAUUGCACAAGGGGCGCAAGCCUGAUGCAGCCAUGCCGCGUGUAUGAAGAAGGCCUUCGGGUUGUAAAGUACUUUCAGCGAGGAGGCGUUACUCGCAGAAGAAGUACCGGCUAACGCCGUGCCAGCAGCCGCGGUAAUAC
rnacentral:rRNA from 1 species